GACGAACGCUGGCGGCGUGCCUAAUACAUGCAAGUAGAACGCACAGGAUGCACCGUAGUUUACUACACCGUAUUCUGUGAGUUGCGAAACGGGUGAGUAACGCGUAGGUAACCUGCCUGGUAGCGGGGGAUAACUAUUGGAGACGAUAGCUAAUACCGCAUAAGAACAUUUACUGCAUGGUAGAUGUUUAAAAGGUGCAAGAGCAUCACUACCAGAUGGACCUGCGUUGUAUUAGCUAGUUGGUGAGGUAACGGCUCACCAAGGCAACGAUACAUAGCCGACCUGAGAGGGUGAUCGGCCACACUGGGACUGAGACACGGCCCAGACUCCUACGGGAGGCAGCAGUAGGGAAUCUUCGGCAAUGGGGGAAACCCUGACCGAGCAACGCCGCGUGAGUGAAGAAGGUUUUCGGAUCGUAAAGCUCUGUUGUUAAGGAAGAACGUGUGUGAGAGUGGAAAGUUCACACAGUGACGGUACUUAACCAGAAAGGGACGGCUAACUACGUGCCAGCAGCCGCGGUAAUACGUAGGUCUCGAGCGUUGUCCGGAUUUAUUGGGCGUAAAGCGAGCGCAGGCGGUUAGAUAAGUCUGAAGUGAAAGGCAGUGGCUCAACCAUUGUAGGCUUUGGAAACUGUUUAACUUGAGUGCAGAAGGGGAGAGUGGAAUUCCAUGUGUAGCGGUGAAAUGCGUAGAUAUAUGGAGGAACACCGGUGGCGAAAGCGGCUCUCUGGUCUGUAACUGACGCUGAGGCUCGAAAGCGUGGGGAGCGAACAGG
rnacentral:rRNA from 1 species